rnacentral:rRNA from 1 species
ACGAACGCUGGCGGCACGCUUAACACAUGCAAGUCGAACGAGAGAAGAGGAGCUUGCUUUUCUGAUCUAGUGGCGGACGGGUGAGUAACACGUGAGCAAUCUGCCUUUCAGAGGGGGAUACCGAUUGGAAACGAUCGUUAAUACCGCAUAACAUAAUUGAACCGCAUGAUUUGAUUGUCAAAGAUUUAUCGCUGAAAGAUGAGCUCGCGUCUGAUUAGCUAGUUGGUAAGGUAACGGCUUACCAAGGCGACGAUCAGUAGCCGGACUGAGAGGUUGAUCGGCCACAUUGGGACUGAGACACGGCCCAGACUCCUACGGGAGGCAGCAGUGGGGAAUAUUGCACAAUGGAGGAAACUCUGAUGCAGCGAUGCCGCGUGAGGGAAGAAGGUUUUAGGAUUGUAAACCUCUGUCUUCAGGGACGAAAAAAGACGGUACCUGAGGAGGAAGCUCCGGCUAACUACGUGCCAGCAGCCGCGGUAAUACGUAGGGAGCGAGCGUUGUCCGGAAUUACUGGGUGUAAAGGGAGCGUAGGCGGGAUCGCAAGUCAGAUGUGAAAACUAUGGGCUUAACCCAUAAUCUGCAUUUGAAACUGUGGUUCUUGAGUGAAGUAGAGGUAAGCGGAAUUCCUAGUGUAGCGGUGAAAUGCGUAGAUAUUAGGAGGAACAUCAGUGGCGAAGGCGGCUUACUGGGCUUUAACUGACGCUGAGGCUCGAAAGCGUGGGGAGCAAACAGGAUUAGAUACCCUGGUAGUCCACGCCGUAAACGAUGAUUACUAGGUGUGGGGGGACUGACCCCUUCCGUGCCGCAGCAAACGCAAUAAGUAAUCCACCUGGGGAGUACGACCGCAAGGUUGAAACUCAAAGGAAUUGACGGGAGCCCGCACAAGCAGUGGAGUAUGUGGUUUAAUUCGAAGCAACGCGAAGAACCUUACCAGGUCUUGACAUCGUAUGCAUAGCUCAGAGAUGAGUGAAAUCUCUUCGGAGACAUAUAGACAGGUGGUGCAUGGUUGUCGUCAGCUCGUGUCGUGAGAUGUUGGGUUAAGUCCCGCAACGAGCGCAACCCUUACUGUUAGUUGCUACGCAAGAGCACUCUAGCAGGACUGCCGUUGACAAAACGGAGGAAGGUGGGGAUGACGUCAAAUCAUCAUGCCCCUUAUGACCUGGGCCUCACACGUACUACAAUGGCUGUCAACAGAGGGAUGCAAAGCCGCGAGGUGGAGCGAACCCCUAAAAGCAGUCUUAGUUCGGAUUGUAGGCUGCAACCCGCCUACAUGAAGUCGGAAUUGCUAGUAAUCGCAGAUCAGCAUGCUGCGGUGAAUACGUUCCCGGGCCUUGUACACACCGCCCGUCACGCCAUGGGAGUCGGUAACACCCGAAGCCUGUAGUCUAACCGCAAGGAGGACGCAGUCGAAGGUGGGAUUGAUGACUGGGGUG